rnacentral:rRNA from 1 species
CCCGCUGAACUUAAGCAUAUCAAUAAGCGGAGGAAAAGAAACUAACAAGGAUUCCCCUAGUAACGGCGAGUGAAGCGGGAAGAGCUCAAAUUUGUAAUCUGGCACCUUCGGUGUCCGAGUUGUAAUCUCGAGAAGUGUUUUCCGCGCCGGACCGCAUACAAGUCUGUUGGAAUACAGCGUCAUAGUGGUGAGAACCCCGUACCUAAUGCGGAUGCCCGGUGCUUUGUGAUACACUUUCGAAGAGUCGAGUUGUUUGGGAAUGCAGCUCAAAUUGGGUGGUAAAUUCCAUCUAAAGCUAAAUAUUGGCGAGAGACCGAUAGCGAACAAGUACCGUGAGGGAAAGAUGAAAAGCACUUUGGAAAGAGAGUUAACAGUACGUGAAAUUGUUGGAAGGGAAACGCUUGAAGUCAGACUUGCUAUUCGGAAUUCAGCCGCAAGGUGUACUUUUCGAUCUGCAGGCCAGCAUCAGUUUUUGGGGAUGGAAAAGGGCCGGAGGAAGGUAGCAAUUUAGGUUGUGUUAUAGCCUUCGGCUGGAUUCAUCUUUGGGGACUGAGGAACGCAGCGCGCUUUUUGCAAGGCUCUCGAGCUUUCCGCGCUUAGGAUGCUGGUGGAAUGGCUUUAAACGACCCGUCUUGAAACACGG